rnacentral:lncRNA from 1 species
CAAAGACUGCAGCUUGAAGAUAAAAGAGAGCACUGCGUCCUUUUGAAAAUAAAGGCAGACACAAAGAAGAAAGGAGCUACCUUACCCCAGCAUAUACCUGCGGGAUGUUCUCUCCAGUUCAUUUUUACCUGGUGUCUUGAAAUCCGAGCAAUUCCUAAAAAGGCAUUUUUGCGAGCCCUUGUGGACUAUACCAGUGACAGUGCUGAAAAGCGCAGGCUACAGGAGCUGUGCAGUAAACAAGGGGCAGCCGAUUAUAGCCGCUUUGUACGAGAUGCCUGUGCCUGCUUGUUGGAUCUCCUCCUCGCUUUCCCUUCUUGCCAGCCACCACUCAGUCUCCUGCUCGAACAUCUUCCUAAACUUCAACCCAGACCAUAUUCGUGUGCAAGCUCAAGUUUAUUUCACCCAGGAAAGCUCCAUUUUGUCUUCAACAUUGUGGAAUUUCUGUCUACUGCCACAACAGAGGUUCUGCGGAAGGGAGUAUGUACAGGCUGGCUGGCCUUGUUGGUUGCUUCAGUUCUUCAGCCAAACAUACAUGCAUCCCAUGAAGACAGCGGGAAAGCCCUGGCUCCUAAGAUAUCCAUCUCUCCUCGAACAACAAAUUCUUUCCACUUACCAGAUGACCCCUCAAUCCCCAUCAUAAUGGUGGGUCCAGGAACCGGCAUAGCCCCGUUUAUUGGGUUCCUACAACAUAGAGAGAAACUCCAAGAACAACACCCAGAUGGAAAUUUUGGAGCAAUGUGGUUGUUUUUUGGCUGCAGGCAUAAGGAUAGGGAUUAUCUAUUCAGAAAAGAGCUCAGACAUUUCCUUAAGCAUGGGAUCUUAACUCAUCUAAAGGUUUCCUUCUCAAGAGAUGCUCCUGUUGGGGAGGAGGAAGCCCCAGCAAAGUAUGUGCAAGACAACAUCCAGCUUCAUGGCCAGCAGGUGGCGAGAAUCCUCCUCCAGGAGAACGGCCAUAUUUAUGUGUGUGGAGAUGCAAAGAAUAUGGCCAAGGAUGUACAUGAUGCCCUUGUGCAAAUAAUAAGCAAAGAGGUUGGAGUUGAAAAACUAGAAGCAAUGAAAACCCUGGCCACUUUAAAAGAAGAAAAACGCUACCUUCAGGAUAUUUGGUCAUAAAACCAGAAAUUAAAGAAAGAGGAUUAAGCUUUUUUGACUGAAAGUACUAAAAGUCAGCUUUACUAGUGCCAAACCUUUAAAUUUUCAAAAGAAAAUUUUCUUUCAACAUUUCUUGAAGGACAUGGAGUGGAGAUUGGAUCAUUUAACAAUAUAACAAAACUUCCUGAUUUGAUUUUACGUAUCUUCUAUCUACGCCCUUCCUGUGCCUGUGACUCUCCCCAAAUUGCCCUGUUGCCUUGAGCUCUUCUGAGCUAAGGCAGCCUUCAGUCCCUAUCAGCGCCUCCUUUACUUCCCAGAGAACUUCACAGAGACUCUGUCCUUCCAUGCAAAGGCUUCCUGAAAUAGGGAGACUGACUGAGUAGCUCAUUCUUGUGACUUACAGUGCCAACAUUUAAAAAAGUAUGAAAAUGAUUUAUUUUUAUAUGAUGUAUACCCAUAAAGAAUGCUCAUAUUAAUGUACUUAAAUUACACAUGUAGAGCAUAUCUGUUAUAUGUUUAUGUAACUAUCAAAUGGUUAUUUGUUACUAAAGCUAUAUUUCUGAUAAAAAAUAUUUUAGGAUAAUUGCCUACAGAGGGAUUUAUUUUUAUGAUGCUGGAAAUAUGAAAUGUAUUUUAAAAUUUCACUCUGGCAUAUGAUUUAUCUAUCACCAUUACUUUUUUUUAAGUCACAAUUUCAGAAUUUUGGGACAUUUGCAUUCAAUUUACAGGUACCAGUACGUACAUAUUUUAAUAGAAAGAUACAACCUUUUUAUUUUCACUCCUUUUAUUUCUGCUGCUUGGCACAUUUUUGAGUUUUCCCACAUUAUUUGUCUCCAUGAUACCACUCAAGCAGUGUGCUGGACCUAAAAUACUGACUUUAGUUAGUAUCCUUGGAUUUUUAGAUUCCCAGUGUCUAAUUCCCUGUUAUAAUUUGCACAAACAAAACAAAAUGUUAUGAUAAUCUUUCUCCACUGUUCUAAUAUAUAUUGUAUUUUUAUUUGAUAGCUUGGGAUUUAAAACAUCUCUGUUGAAGGCUUUUGAUCCUUUUGAGAAAUAAAGAUCUGAAAGAAAUGGCAUAAUCUU